GAUGAACGCUGGCGGCGUGCUUAACACAUGCAAGUCGAACGGAGUGUAAACGCUGAAGCGAUUUCGGUCAAUUCUUGUUUAUACUUAGUGGCGGACGGGUGAGUAACGCGUGGGUAACCUGCCGUAUGCAGGGGGACAACAGUUGGAAACGACUGCUAAUACCGCAUAAGCGCACAGAUAGGCAUCUAUCAGUGUGAAAAGAAUUUCGGCAUACGAUGGACCCGCGUCUGAUUAGCUUGUUGGUGAGGUAACGGCCCACCAAGGCGACGAUCAGUAGCCGGCCUGAGAGGGUGAACGGCCACAUUGGGACUGAGACACGGCCCAAACUCCUACGGGAGGCAGCAGUGGGGAAUAUUGGAGAAUGGGGGAAACCCUUAUCCAGCGACGCCGCGUGAGUGAAAAAGUAUUUCGGUAUGUAAGGCUCUAUCAGCAAGGAAGAAAAUGACGGUACUUGACUAAGAAGCUCCGGCUAAAUACGUGCCAGCCGCCGCCGUAACAC
rnacentral:rRNA from 1 species